rnacentral:rRNA from 1 species
GUGCCAGCAGCCGCGGUACUACCGGCAGCACGAGUGAUGGCCGAUCUUAUUGGGCCUAAAGCGUCCGUAGCCGGCCGGACAAGUCCGUUGGGAAAUCGACGCGCCUAACGCGUCGGCGUCCAGCGGAAACUGUCCGGCUUGGGGCCGGAAGAUCCGAGGGGUACGUCCGGGGUAGGAGUGAAAUCCCGUAAUCCUGGACGGACCACCGGUGGCGAAAGCGCCUCGAGAAGACGGUCCCGACGGUGAGGAACGAAAGCCAGGGUCUCGAACCGGAUUAGAAACCCCUGUAGUCC